rnacentral:rRNA from 1 species
CCUACGGGCGGCUGCAGUGGGGAAUAUUGGACAAUGGGCGAAAGCCUGAUCCAGCCAUGCCGCGUGUGUGAAGAAGGCCUUCGGGUUGUAAAGCACUUUCAGUGGGGAAGAAAGCCUUGGGGCUAAUACCCUCGAGGAAGGACAUCACCCACAGAAGAAGCACCGGCUAACUCCGUGCCAGCAGCCGCGGUAAUACGGAGGGUGCGAGCGUUAAUCGGAAUUACUGGGCGUAAAGCGCGCGUAGGCGGUCUGAUAAGCCGGUUGUGAAAGCCCCGGGCUCAACCUGGGAACGGCAUCCGGAACUGUCAGGCUAGAGUGCAGGAGAGGAAGGUAGAAUUCCCGGUGUAGCGGUGAAAUGCGUAGAGAUCGGGAGGAAUACCGGUGGCGAAGGCGGCCUUCUGGACUGACACUGACGCUGAGGUGCGAAAGCGUGGGUAGCAAACAGGAUUAGAUACCCGAGUAGUC